GACGAACGCUGGCGGCGUGCUUAACACAUGCAAGCCGAACGGUGAAAGCGGAGCUUGCUCCGCUGGAUCAGUGGCGAACGGGUGAGUAACACGUGGGCAACCUGCCCCUCACUUCGGGAUAACUCCGGGAAACCGGGGCUAAUACCGGAUAUGACCUCCUUGGGCAUCCUUGGAGGUGGAAAGUUUUUCGGUGAGGGAUGGGCACGCGGCCUAUCAGCUUGUUGGUGCGGUAGUGGCGCACCAAGGCGACGACGGGUAGCCGGCCUGAGAGGGCGACCGGCCACACGGGGACUGAGACACGGCCCAGAAUCCUACGGGAGGCAGCAGUGGGGAAUAUUGCACAAUGGGCGCAAGCCUGAUGCAGCGACGCCGCGUGAGGGAUGACGGCCUUCGGGUUGUAAACCUCUUUCAGCACAGACGAAGCGCAAGUGACGGUAUGUGCAGAAGAAGGACCGGCCAACUACGUGCCAGCAGCCGCUGUAA
rnacentral:rRNA from 1 species